GCUAAGCUAUCGCUGCCAACCUCUCUAUUGCUGCAAGCUAUCCCUCGCUGCUAAGCUAUCGCUGCCAACCUAUCUAUCGCUGCCAACCUAUCUAUCGCUGCCAAUUUAUCUACCACUGCCAAUCUAUCUAUUGCUGCUAAUCUAUCACUGCUGUCAAUCUAUCUAUCGCUGCUAAUCUAUCUAUCGCUGCUAAUCUAUCACCGCUGCCAAUCUAUCCCUCACUGCUAAGCUAUCCCUCGCUGCUAAGCUAUCACAGCCAAUCUAUCGCUGCUAAUCUAUCACUGCCAACCUAUCUACCGCGGCGAAUCUAUCUAUCGCUGCCAAUUUAUCUACCACUGCCAAUCUAUCUAUCGCUGCCAAUCUAUUGCUGCUAAUCUAUCGCUGCUAAUCUAUCGCUGCUGUCAAUCUAUCUUUCGCUGCUAAUCUAUCGCCGCUGCCAAUCUAUCCCUCGCUGCUAAGCUAUCCCUCGCUGCUAAGCUAUCCCUCACUGCUAAGCUAUCUCUCGCUGCUAAGCUAUCCCUCACUGCUAAGCUAUCCCUCGCUGCUAAGCUAUCCCUCACUACUAAGCUAUCUAUCACUGCUAAUCUAUCACUGCCAAUCUAUCUAUCACUGCCAAUCUAUCUAUCACUGCUAAUCUAUCACUGCUAAUCUAUCGCUGCUAAUCUAUCACUGCUAAUCUAUCGCUGCUAAUCUAUCGCUGCUAAUCUAUCACUGCUAAUCUAUCGCUGCUAAUCUAUCACUGCUAAUCUAUCGCUGCCAACCUAUCUACCGCGGUGAAUCUAUCUAUCACUAUCAUUACUAGUUCAAAAUAGAACUAGAGCAUAAAUACACUAAACUUCUUUUGAUAGAUAAUGAUUUUUGGUAACACUCAUAGCAUUAUAUCAUCUAUAUAGGGUGAAUCGUGGUCCCAUUUGGUCCCAUUUUAACAAAAUGAGACCAAAUGGGACCAGAAUCAGUAAUUUAUAAGAAGAACAUGAUCUGGGACUAGAUUUAUAAUAUAAACAGUGUAAAGUGACUAAUUUAAUAAACACUAUAUGGAACC
rnacentral:sRNA from 1 species